GAUGAACGCUGGCGGCGUGCUUAACACAUGCAAGUCGAACGAUGAACCGGGUGCUUGCACUCGGGGAUUAGUGGCGAACGGGUGAGUAACACGUGAGCAACCUGCCCCUGACUCUGGGAUAAGCGCUGGAAACGGCGUCUAAUACUGGAUAUGUCCCGUCCCCGCAUGGCGUUCGGGUGGAAAGAUUUUUCGGUUGGGGAUGGGCUCGCGGCCUAUCAGCUUGUUGGUGAGGUAAUGGCUCACCAAGGCGUCGACGGGUAGCCGGCCUGAGAGGGUGACCGGCCACACUGGGACUGAGACACGACCCAGACUCCUACGGGAGGCAGCAGUGGGGAAUAUUGCACAAUGGGCGGAAGCCUGAUGCAGCAACGCCGCGUGAGGGAUGACGGCCUUCGGGUUGUAAACCUCUUUUAGCAGGGAAGAAGCGAGAGUGACGGUACCUGCAGAAAAAGCGCCGGCUAACUACGUGCCAGCCGCCGCGGUAA
rnacentral:rRNA from 1 species